rnacentral:rRNA from 1 species
AAAAGAUUAAAAGCAUGCAUGUCUAAGAACUUAUCUUGUAACGAUGAAUCUGCGGACGGCUCAUUAAAACAGCUAUAAUCUACUCGGAAUUGUUUCCUAAACGGAUAUCUGCGAUAAUUUUGGAGCUAAUACGUGCACUUAACGGAUACUUUACGGUGUCUGGCAUUUAUUAGAUUAAGGCCAAUCGGGGCAACCCGCUUUGGUGAACUCUGAAUAACUUCGCGGAUCGCAUGGUCUUGUACCGGCGACAGUUCGAUCGAGUAUCUGCCUUAUCAACUUUCGAUGGUAGUUUAUUCGACUACCAUGGUUGUGACGGGUAACGGAGGAUAAGGGUUCGACUCCGGAGAGGGAGCCUGAGAAACGGCUACCACAUCCAAGGAAGGCAGCAGGCGCGUAAAUUACCCACUCUCAAUGCGAGGAGGUAGUGACUAUCAAUAACGAGGCAGAUCUCUAUGAGGCCUGCUAUUGGAAUGAGCACAAUGUAAAUGCUUUAACGAGGAUCUAUGAGAGGGCAAGUCUGGUGCCAGCAGCCGCGGUAAUUCCAGCUCUCAAAGUGUAUAUCGUCAUUGCUGCGGUUAAAAAGCUCGUAGUUGGAUUUGAGUUUAGAGAUGCGGUACUCCUUGUGAGCCACUGUACUCUCUAGCUGUUCUGUUGGUUUUCCACUGUUUGCCUUAACCGGUAGGCUUUGGAUGCCAGCGUGUUUACCUUGAAUAAAUUAGAGUGCUCAAGACAGGCGUUUCGCUUGUAUAUUCGUGCAUGGAAUAAUGGAAUAAGACUUCGGUUUGUUUCGUUGGUCUUGGAAUCGAAGUAAUGGUUAAGAGGGAUUGACGGGGGCAUCCGUAUCGCUACGUGAGAGGGAAAUAUUGGAAAAGGGUUAGGCCCCUC